GCUUGGGUCGCCGAGCGAGAUGACUCGGUGCGCCCAGAUAAACAAGUCAGACACACAGUCGGUAGUAAGGGAUGGGCCCAAAACGGCAGGGCCAAGGCGAGGGCGCAUUUUUUGUUACCGAAAAGCCCCUGAAGCAAUAAUUGAAGAACAUUAGGUUAGCUGAAAAGCAUUCGGCUCGCUGAGAAGGUCGGCUUGGGUGUUUUGUGUUUGCAGGGCAGCACCUGUUGUAAUGUCCCUGCCUGUAGACGUUUUACCCCCACACCUCCAUUUUUUAAACAUUUUUCUCGCAUGGAGAAUUGGUUGGUGAUUUGGCCGGCUAGAGGUAUCCGAUUGAUCUGCUGCUGAUCCUGCAUCUAGGUUUCAGGAUCCGACCGGACCUCUGUGUGACCGAAAUGAACCACCUGUUACCUUCAAAUACAAGUGAGGAAAAGGUCGAGUGAAGACAAUAGAUUAAUCCCUUUGGCAACAGCACACAGAGACAUGACAUUCCACUACAAGCCAGAAGAGAGCUCUCCCCAGAACCAGCCAUGCUGAUGCCUUUGCCCUUGGACUGCCAGCGUCCGGAACUGAUGGAACCCUGAACUGUUAUGUUUCACCUACAAUAGUUUUUUCUCCUUCCGCUGGCAACAGAAAUCAGCAGCUUAAGAGCCUUUCAAGGGCAAUUCUGUCCUACUGGGUCGUCUCGAAGUUGAAUGGAUUUCCAUGGAAGAGGGGCCUGCAGAGUUGAUAAUCGAACAAAGACCAGAGAAAAUGAAAUUCACCUGUACUGACCAAGUGGGCAAGGGAGGGCAAUCCAAUGUCAAAUAAAGGGUGUUUCCAAAGUCAA